GGGUAAUAUAGCAGAAGACGAAACAAAGAAAUAGCUUUAUGUGUGGCACACCAAAAUUCACUUGCUGGCUGAAGCGUGGAAGUGACAAAGGCAGAAACAGCUGAGUGUGCAGCUAACGGAUUGCCUGGGAUUAGUGCUUUUUGGAGUAGCGAGGCUGUGUUGCUGAGACUAUGUUUGCAUAAAUAUAUGUCUGUUUCUAUGCUGCUAGAAUUACGGGCCAUGCUUGAAGGCAUUUAAGAAGUGUUUUCAUUGUCUUUUUUUGGUCUUCCGACAGGGGAGGUGGUGGUGGGAUACCAUUGUCCCGCUCGGUCGCUGGGAGAAAAUGAUGAAUUAGCAUAACUGUGAUCUGCUCUUCAAACCUCUCUGAAGAAGGCAGUACUGGCAGAAGUGAGGAUUACCAGUCCCUCAGUAGCUUCCUGGCUGCUGCGGGGAACCAUUACCUUUGAGGAAAUGUCUUUCCAGCGGGUCUUGCCUGAGGCUCCAGCUCUGCCUGAUCUGCUAGCUCAUAUAGAAGUCAGACGUCAGGACUUCUGUCUUCCUGGAAGACUGGCCCUUCGAAAGCAAUUUGUCCCGUAUCCACUUUGAGUCCUGUUGUGGUGAGAAGGCUUAUUGACUAAAACACCCUGAAAAAUGUGAUCUGGAUGUGAGCAUGCAGCUGCAGAUGUUACCACAGCUUAGAAGAGAGAAGUACUUGCGUCCAAGAUACCGCAGCUACCCAUCCAACCUAGAGCAGAUGACCUGCUUGCUAGGACAGUGCAUGUGAGAACAUGCCCUCCAAUUUUUCUGAGCUUCUGAAAAAGUUUGCCUCAGCUGGUGAGGAAAAUGCUUUCCUUGGUGUUCAGAGAUUGCAGUGAAGUGGGACACUCUUCCCUGGAGGUGUUGACAGACACCAAGAAUCCCAGAAGUUUCUCAAAAAGGCAGUUGUGGGAUGUUACAGUACCCGGCCUAAUGCAGCGGGAUCUGCACUGCAUCCUAGCCAGCCUGCUGUCUGAGGGCUGUUGCGAGAGCGCCUUGUGCUCCAGCUGUCUGCCCCGCGUUGGAAGCUGCAGUAUAGCUCUAUCUCCAGUGACCACCCAGCUGUGUACAGUCGUGAGGCACAAUAAGAGGUGAAGGCUGUAAGGGACCUCUGGCAGUGGAGGUGCCAGACAUGAAAAGAGAAGAAUCCAAGUAAGAAAAAUCCUUCCACCCUGAGGGGAAGAAUUAAGGGCAUCACUGCACA